rnacentral:rRNA from 1 species
GGCGACGCUGGCGGCGUGCCUAUACAUGCAAGUCGAGCGGACUUAAAAAGCUUGCUUUUUAAGUUAGCGGCGGACGGGUGAGUAACACGUGGGCAACCUGCCUGUAAGACUGGGAUAACUUCGGGAAACCGGAGCUAAUACCGGAUAAUCCUUUUCUACUCAUGUAGAAAAGCUGAAAGACGGUUUACGCUGUCACUUACAGAUGGGCCCGCGGCGCAUUAGCUAGUUGGUGAGGUAACGGCUCACCAAGGCGACGAUGCGUAGCCGACCUGAGAGGGUGAUCGGCCACACUGGGACUGAGACACGGCCCAGACUCCUACGGGAGGCAGCAGUAGGGAAUCUUCCGCAAUGGACGAAAGUCUGACGGAGCAACGCCGCGUGAGUGAUGAAGGUUUUCGGAUCGUAAAACUCUGUUGUUAGGGAAGAACAAGUACGAGAGUAACUGCUCGUACCUGGACGGUACCUAACCAGAAAGCCACGGCUAACUACGUGCCAGCAGCGGCGGUAAUACGUAGGGUGGCAAGCGUUGUCCGGAAUUUAUGGGGCGUAAAGCGCGGCGCAGGCGGUUCUUUUAGGUCUGAUGUGAAACCCCGCGGCUCAACGGUGGGAGGCUCAGUGGAAAACUGGGGGGACUUGAGUGCAAAAAAAAAAGAGUGGAAAUUCCACGUGUAGCGGUAAAAGUGAAUAAAUAUGGAGAAAAAACACCGUGUGGCAGAAGACAACUCGGGGGGCCUAAAACUGAAC